CCUACGGGAGGCAGCAGUGAGGAAUAUUGGUCAAUGGACGAGAGUCUGAACCAGCCAAGUAGCGUGAAGGAUGACUGCCCUAUGGGUUGUAAACUUCUUUUAUAAAGGAAUAAAACGAGGCACGUGUGCCUUUUUGCAUGUACUUUAUGAAUAAGGAUCGGCUAACUCCGUGCCAGCAGCCGCGGUAAUACGGAGGAUCCGAGCGUUAUCCGGAUUUAUUGGGUUUAAAGGGAGCGUAGAUGGUUUGUUAAGUCAGUUGGAAAAUCUUGCGGUUAACCCGUAAAAUUGCAAUUGAUACUGGCAGUCUUGAGUACAGUUGAGGUAGGAGGAAUUCGUGGUGUAGCGGUGAAAUGCAUAGAUAUCACGCAGAACCCCGAUUGCGAAGGCAGCUUACUAAACUGUGACUGACAUUGAUGCUCGAAAGUGUGGGUAUCAAACAGGAUUAGAUACCCCUGUAGUC
rnacentral:rRNA from 1 species